rnacentral:rRNA from 1 species
GUGAACCUGCGGAGGGAUCAUUACACAAUAUGA